AUAAUGUUGUGAUGUAUUGGUUAUGUUUUAAAUAUAUUAAAAGGGAAUUAGGUUGGAGUCCUAAACAGUCCUGCUGCCGUAAUAACUGAGAGCGUUUUCAUGAGACGAUAUUGUCUUUUAAGGCCACUGAAUUUAGAUUUGGGAAGGCGAAAACAAACGAUGAUGUUUAAGUCGGAAGACCUGCCAAUACCAUCUAUAUAUUG
rnacentral:ncRNA from 15 species